CUUAAAUCAAAUUUCGGAAGCUUGCAGACGAAGGGAACCAAGGACCUCCAUGCCAGGUGUAGUGGCUCAGACCUGGAAACUCCAAUGCUUUGGGAGGCUGAGGUGGGAGCAUCGUUGGAGGCCAGGAAGGCAAGACGAGGAUGGGAAACAUAUCAAAACCCUGACUCUACCAAAAAAAAAAAAAUGGUGUUCUUCAUCCUGUCUACAAAUUCUGCUAUUCACUGCAGGGGUA
rnacentral:lncRNA from 1 species